AUGAGAUGUCGUCUGUCGUGGA
rnacentral:siRNA from 1 species